AAUGGGCAGAAUACAAAAUCAAAGAAACUAAUAUGUUUACUGUAGACAAAUAUCAACAGCUCCAUAGUUUGCUGCCUUGAGAAGCAUGAUGGUUAUCCAUCAGGGUCAAUGGUUGACUUUGCAAGCGACAUAGAUGGGUCCCUGAUUUUAGCUGUUAGUAGCUUGGCGUUUCAUUC